UCCUGCUCUUCCCCCUCCCCAAACUCCCUCCCUCCGCCCGACUCUCCGCGCAGCCGUGGGAUCUCCGAGGAGGGCGUCCAUUAAGCCGCGUGUGACCAUGUAAGAAUUCAGGGGUCUUCAGAAUUACAAAUGAGACUGUGGACUAAGAGAACACUCAUGGAUUAAGAGAACACUUAUGUAUGAAGUCUGAACUUAUAAAGUGUGUAAGGACCUCCACAUACCUGGUGGAUUGAAUCUCGGAUGACAGGCAUCAUCUCUACUGCAAAGUGAGGAAACCGAGCCCCCAGGAGGCUAACAUCCUCACAGUCAUCUCACACCUCGCUUAUGACUUGAAACCACAGCUAUCGGUUUUCCCUGCCAAUGUGUACUUCACUGGAUAAAUGAUUGUCUGAAGUCAUUUUCAUACAACAUGAGAACAGGACUGUUUCUUCAUCUCUCUGGAUUGACCCUGGGAACCAGUUAACUCCCUUAUCUAUAUUUUCAAUAUUUAACAUACCUGAACCCUAAAUAAAGGAAGUGGUACUGUCACGACAACAACAACAACAAUAAAACAACAACAACAAAUCAUUGAAAAUGAGAAGGAUGAUUACAGAUCUCUGCCCACACAUCGUUCCAGUGUGUAGUUCCAAAAGCCCCAUUUGUUAGCCAAUACCGACUGCAAUUUUAUAGGUUAAAUGAUUUGGGGGUCUCAUGUUUCUUUUCACACAGCUGAGUAUAUCUAAUUACAAAAAUUGCUUAUAACUUGCAAACCACAGGUGUAGGUAGAAAAAUGUCUUUUUUCUCUUUGGGCUGAGUGAUACACAAAGGGAGAGGUGUUAUUUGGUUUUGGAUAUAAUCUUUAUCUAACAAACAUUUCAGUCCAUCUUUAACUCGUUUUUUACAUCAUAAAAUAAUUCUUCAGUAUAUGAUAGUUUAUCUACAUUAUUAAAUAAUUCGACUUUAAAAAGCUGCUUUCUUUAUUCUAUUCAUUUAUAAAAGCAACCCAGUGAGUGGUAUUUUCAUAUUUAAAAAUUUGUACUGUAGUUCCAUUUCCAUUGAAAGUCUUUUUGUGGAUUACAGAAGUAAUACAUGCUCAUUAUAGAUAAUCUGCAAAAUACAAAGAAAAAAAUUAAAUCACCCAUAAUGCCUCCAGGCGAAAUUUUCAAAGGCCCACAUAACCAUUUGAAUGACUUAGAGAUGUUUAAAACACUCCUUGAAGAUUGUUUCCUUUCCUUUUUAUUAGGAAUAAACCGAUAAGCAGUUUAGGACCCUCUGUGUGAUGGGUAAACAGAAUGUGAUUCUAUGUCACUUCAAAUUCAACUUUUGUCAGUACUGUAGUACUUCUCUUCAUAGGGACGUUUAUUUUUGACCACUUUGCAAAGAGAUUAAAAUGAAAAUGUAUGAAGAGUCCCAGAAGGUAGCCUGCUUUGAAAAGCUGUUUACUUGCCUUAGGCAUGAUUUGAGAGGGUAAAGGUUAAGGAUGAGUCACGAGAAAGCCCCACAGGCCCUCCAUUCAGACCUGCUCAAUAGUCUUUCAUCUCUCUCUGUUUUUGUUGAUACCAGCUGUGUCUACCUUAAUCCUCUCUAUGAGUUUACAUCUUUUUUCUUAAUAAUCUAUAAGCAACCCAUAGAAAAGGGGCAUGUGCUGACUAGAAAAUAAUGGUUGGGGGGCAGGUGACAGGAGGAAAAGGCAAAGAAAAAGAAAUGUAAUGGGUAGCAAAUGCCUUUUUAUAAAAUGUCAGAGAAACCAACGGCAUAUUUGACAAGACUUGAUUUGACUCAAAGCAACAGUGGAAGCUAUGAUUCUUAACUAUUAACUAAUACCUGAAACUAGGGGGUGUUAAUAUUCUAAAAUUCUUAUAAGAUAAUUCCCCAAAUUAUCUUUUUUUGUUAAGUGUAAUAGAUGACAAGUGUGUUUCAUGAUUUUGAAGGCUUUACUAAU